rnacentral:rRNA from 1 species
UACUAGAGUAGCACUCGCAUAUCAAUAAGCGGAGGAAAAGAAACUAACAAGGAUUCCCCUAGUAACGGCGAGUGAAGCGGGAAGAGCUCAAAUUUGAAAUCUUAAAGGGUUUCCCUUUACGAAUUGUAGUUUAAAGAAGUGUUUUCUGUUGAGGUUUUGGUAAAAGUUCUUUGGAAUAGGACAUCAUAGAGGGUGAGAAUCCCGUAUUUGACCUUUACUUUCAACUUUGUGAUACACUUUCAAAGAGUCGGAUUGUUUGGGAAUGCAGUCCAAAAUGGGUGGUAAAUUUCAUCUAAAGCUAAAUAUUGGCGAGAGACCGAUAGCGAACAAGUACCGUGAGGGAAAGAUGAAAAGAACUUUGAAAAGAGAGUUAAACAGUACGUGAAAUUGUCAAAAGGGAAGCGUUUGACACCAGUGUUGUUUUUCUGAAAAUCAAUUAAAGAACUGUUUAUGCUAAGUUGUUUAGACUUUAUCAGCUAUCUGCUUAGUUUUGAGCUUUUCCUUCAAUGCACUUUUCAGUUAACAAGUCAACAUCAAUUUCUUUUGCUGUAAAAAAGCUUGAGGAAGGUGGCUUGAGAUUCGUCUUAAGUGUUUAUAGCCUCUUGCCUAUGCAGUCGGAGAGAUUGAGGUCUGCAGCGUAGAUCCUUCGGGGCUAAAUGCAUUUGUGCUAAGUUAUAGCAUUUUAUAGACAACUUGUUGACUAUGAUUUGUCUUGUAGCUUACUCGCUUAUGUUAUUUUACCUACGCUUAGGAUGUUGAGUAGCGACAUACGCAC